rnacentral:rRNA from 1 species
CCGUCUUGAAACACGGACCAAGGAGUCUAACAUGUGCGCGAGUCAUUGGGUCACACUAAACCUAAAGGCGCAAUGAAAGUGAAGGCAGCCUCGGGUUUGCCUAGGUAGGAUCCUUUUUUCUCUUUUGAGAGGAGGCGCACUACCGGCCCGUCUCGUCCGCGUUGCGGUGAGGCGGAGCGAGAGCGUACACGUUGGGACCCGAAAG